UUGUAGGAUGUCUCAUUUGCUUGGCAUGAUACAAUCCAGUUGGAGAUGUUAAAACUGGUGCAACCGUCGCGUGAAUCUGGCAUUGAUUCUGCCAGUGUUCCAAAAAAGCCCCAACAGGAAUUUCUAUGUUGUCCAUGAUGUGGAAACUUAUGAUAUGUCGACAUGGAAGAAAAUAA